AUGCGUUGUUGGGUAGGGGAGCGUUCUGUAAGCCUGCGAAGGUGGCCUGUGAGGGUUGCUGGAGGUAUCAGAAGUGCGAAUGCUGACAUAAGUAACGAUAAAGCGGGUGAAAAGCCCGCUCGCCGGAAGACCAAGGGUUCCUGUCCAACGUUAAUCGGGGCAGGGUGAGUCGACCCCUAAGGCGAGGCCGAAAGGCGUAGUCGAUGGGAAACGGGUUAAUAUUCCCGUACUUGGUGUUACUGCGAAGGGGGGACGGAGAAGGCUAUGUUGGCCGGGCGACGGUUGUCCCGGUUUAAGCGUGUAGGUGUGUGUUCCAGGUAAAUCCGGUUCACUUUAACACUGAGGCGUGACGACGAGGCACUACGGUGCUGAAGCAACAAAUGCCCUGCUUCCAGGAAAAGCCUCUAAGCAUCAGGUAACAUCAAAUCGUACCCCAAACCGACACAGGUGGUCAGGUAGAGAAUACCAAGGCGCUUGAGAGAACUCGGGUGAAGGAACUAGGCAAAAUGGUGCCGUAACUUCGGGAGAAGGCACGCUGACACGUAGGUGAAGUGAUUUACUCAUGGAGCUGAAGUCAGUCGAAGAUACCAGCUGGCUGCAACUGUUUAUUAAAAACACAGCACUGUGCAAACACGAAAGUGGACGUAUACGGUGUGACGCCUGCCCGGUGCCGGAAGGUUAAUUGAUGGGGUCAGCGCAAGCGAAGCUCCUGAUCGAAGCCCCGGUAAACGGCGGCCGUAACUAUAACGGUCCUAAGGUAGCGAAAUUCCUUGUCGGGUAAGUUCCGACCUGCACGAAUGGCGUAAUGAUGGCCAGGCUGUCUCCACCCGAGACUCAGUGAAAUUGAACUCGCUGUGAAGAUGCAGUGUACCCGCGGCAAGACGGAAAGACCCCGUGAACCUUUACUAUAGCUUGACACUGAACAUUGAGCCUUGAUGUGUAGGAUAGGUGGGAGGCUUUGAAGUGUGGACGCCAGUCUGCAUGGAGCCGACCUUGAAAUACCACCCUUUAAUGUUUGAUGUUCUAACGUGGACCCGUUACCCGGGUUGCGGACAGUGUCUGGUGGGUAGUUUGACUGGGGCGGUCUCCUCCUAAAGAGUAACGGAGGAGCACGAAGGUUGGCUAAUCCUGGUCGGACAUCAGGAGGUUAGUGCAAUGGCAUAAGCCAGCUUGACUGCGAGCGUGACGGCGCGAGCAGGUGCGAAAGCAGGUCAUAGUGAUCC
rnacentral:rRNA from 1 species